UGCCGCGACAGGUUGGCGUGGUGGUGACGUUCCUGGUGCUGCUUAUUUUCUCCUACAACGUCGUCUUCCUGUUCGUGGGGACGGCAAGCCUGGGCCUGUUUCUCAGCAGCACCUUCCCCAGCAUGCUGGCCUACACCGAGGACUCGCUGCAGUACAAAGGCUGUGCAACCACAGUGCUGGUGACAGGGGCAGGAGUUGGCGAGAUGGUGCUGCAGAUGCUGGUUGGUUCGGUAUGUGGGGACCUGUAUGGGAGAGGGGAGCAUUUGGGGAGCACUCCUCUGACAGGUGAGAAGAUGCAGAUAGCCACCUUCUGAACUCAAACUGUCCCUUUCCUGAGUCUCCAGCAAAGCCAGCAGGGCCCCCUGUGCCGUUGUUACCUGUUUCCGUUUCCAAGCCAGCCCUGAGAGCUGAGCCUCCAUAUGUGGGAUCUGGAGAUGUGAACGGAUGCAUGGAAAAGUCCAAAGCAAACACAAGCCAUGUCUGGGAGCAGGGCCAGAGGGGGCCCGUGGGAAUGCUGUUUA
rnacentral:sRNA from 1 species